AACGAACGCUGGCGGCAUGCCUAACACAUGCAAGUCAAACGAGACCUCCGGGUCUAGUGGCGUACGGGUGCGUAACGCGUGGGAACCUGCCCUUAGGUUCGGAAUAAUUCCCCGUAAGGGGUGCUAAUACCGGAUAAUGUCUUCGGACCAAAGAUUUAUCGCCUUUGGAUGGGCGGGCGUUGGUUUAGCCGGUUGGUAGGGUAAAAGCCUACCAAGGCGACGCUCCAUAGCUGGUCUGAGAGGAAGAGCAGCCACACUGGGGCUGAGACACGGCCCAGACUACUAGAGAAGGGGGCAGAGGGGGAUACAGGACGAUGGGGGAGGUGCUGAAGCAGCUAUGGCGGGUAAGUCAUGAUGGCGUGAGGGAAAUGAAGCACGUUGACACGAGGUGAUAAUGACGGUACCGGGAGAAUAAGCACCGGCUAACUUCGUG
rnacentral:rRNA from 1 species